rnacentral:rRNA from 1 species
UAGAGUUUGAUCAUGGCUCAGGACCAACGCUGGCGGCGUGCUUAACACAUGCAAGUCGAACGGAGCACCCCUGAAGGAGUUUUCGGACAACGGAAGGGAAUGCUUAGUGGCGGACUGGUGAGUAACGCGUGAGGAACCUGCCUUUCAGAGGGGGACAACAGUUGGAAACGACUGCUAAUACCGCAUGAUGUAUCGGGGUCGCAUGGCACUGAUACCAAAGAUUUAUCGCUGAAAGAUGGCCUCGCGUCUGAUUAGCUAGUUGGUGAGGUAACGGCCCACCAAGGCGACGAUCAGUAGCCGGACUGAGAGGUUGACCGGCCACAUUGGGACUGAGAUACGGCCCAGACUCCUACGGGAGGCAGCAGUGGGGAAUAUUGGGCAAUGGACGCAAGUCUGACCCAGCAACGCCGCGUGAAGGAAGAAGGCUUUCGGGUUGUAAACUUCUUUUAAGGGGGAAGAGCAGAAGACGGUACCCCUUGAAUAAGCCACGGCUAACUACGUGCCAGCAGCCGCGGUAAUACGUAGGUGGCAAGCGUUGUCCGGAUUUACUGGGUGUAAAGGGCGUGCAGCCGGGAAGACAAGUCAGAUGUGAAAUCCCGCGGCUCAACCGCGGAACUGCAUUUGAAACUGUUUUUCUUGAGUAUCGGAGAGGUAAUCGGAAUUCCUAGUGUAGCGGUGAAAUGCGUAGAUAUUANGAAGAACACCAGUGGCGAAGGCGGAUUACUGGACGACAACUGACGGGGAGGCGCGAAAGCGUGGGGAGCAAACAGGAUUAAAUACCCUGUUAGUCCACGCUG